rnacentral:rRNA from 1 species
AGAGUUUGAUCCUGGCUCAGGAUGAACGCUAGCGGCAGGCCUAACACAUGCAAGUCGAGGGGUAACAGGUAGGAAGCUUGCUUUCUAUGCUGACGACCGGCGCACGGGUGAGUAACGCGUAUGCAAUCUACCCUUAACUGGGGAAUAGCCCGAAGAAAUUCGGAUUAAUGCCCCAUAACACUAUGGUAUCGCAUGAUACUAUAUUUAAAACUCCGGUGGUUAAGGAUGAGCAUGCGUGACAUUAGCUAGUUGGUAAGGUAACGGCUUACCAAGGCUACGAUGUCUAGGGGGCCUGAGAGGGUAGUCCCCCACACUGGUACUGAGACACGGACCAGACUCCUACGGGAGGCAGCAGUGAGGAAUAUUGGUCAAUGGGCGCAAGCCUGAACCAGCCAUGCCGCGUGCAGGAAGACGGCUCUAUGAGUUAUAAACUGCUUUUAUACGGGAAUAACCAUAGCUACGUGUAGCUAUCUGAAUGUACCGUACGAAUAAGCAUCGGCUAACUCCGUGCCAGCAGCCGCGGUAAUACGGAGGAUGCAAGCGUUAUCCGGAUUUAUCGGGUUUAAAGGGUGCGUAGGCGGGAAAAUAAGUCAGUGGUGAAAUCCUGCAGCUUAACUGUAGAACUGCCAUUGAUACUGUUUUUCUUGAGUGUAGUUGAGGUAGGCGGAAUGUGUAAUGUAGCGGUGAAAUGCUUAGAUAUUACACAGAACACCGAUUGCGUAGGCAGCUUACUAAACUAUUACUGACGCUCAGGCACGAAAGCGUGGGUAGCGAACAGGAUUAGAUACCCUGGUAGUCCACGCCGUAAACGAUGAUCACUAGCUGUUGGCAACACAUAGUCAGUGGCAAAGCGAAAGCAUUAAGUGAUCCACCUGGGGAGUACGCUCGCAAGAGUGAAACUCAAAGGAAUUGACGGGGGCCCGCACAAGCGGUGGAGCAUGUGGUUUAAUUCGAUGAUACGCGAGGAACCUUACCUGGGCUUAAAUGCAUAACGACGUAGUGGGAAACCAUUGCUCCCUUCGGGGCGUUUUGCAAGGUGCUGCAUGGUUGUCGUCAGCUCGUGCCGUGAGGUGUCGGGUUAAGUCCCAUAACGAGCGCAACCCCUAUCGAUAGUUGCUAGCAGGUAAUGCUGAGGACUCUAGCGAAACUGCCGGUGUAAACCGAGAGGAAGGUGGGGAUGACGUCAAAUCAGCACGGCCCUUAUGUCCAGGGCUACACACGUGUUACAAUGGUCGGUACAGAGGGCAGCUACCUGGUGACAGGAUGCUAAUCUCGAAAGCCGGUCACAGUUCGGAUUGAGGUCUGCAACUCGACUUCAUGAAGCUGGAAUCGCUAGUAAUCGCGUAUCAGCAAUGAC